CACGUAGGGGGCAAGCGUUGUCCGGAUUUAUUGGGCGUAAGAGCUACGUAGGCGGCUUGUCGCGUCGACUGUGAAAACCCGCGGCUCAACCCGCGGGCCUGGCAGCCGAUACGGGCAGGCUAAGAGUUCGGUAGGGGAGACUGGAAUUCCGUGGUGUAGCGGUGAAAUGCGCAGAUAUCAGGAGGAACACCGAUGGCGAAGGCAGGUCUCUGGGCCGGAUACUGACGCUGAGGAGCGAAAGCGUGGGGAGCGAACAGG
rnacentral:rRNA from 1 species